AAAGUAUUUGAUUAUAGUACUGUAUAUAAAUAUAUAUUUAGAAUUUAUAUGAAUUUUGAUUUAGAUUUUUAUUUUAGUAGUUUUUAACAUUAAUUUUUAAAUAAUUUUAGAAUUAGUUAUAUAUUUUAAUAUUUGCAAAUUUUGUGCCAGCAGCAGCGGUUAUACAAAUAAUGUGAUUUAUAUUUUUUAGUAUUAAUUAUUAUGUAAAAAUAUUGAAUUAUAAUUUAAAUUUAUUAGGUGAAAUUUUGAUUUAAUAUUAAUUUAUUUAUAUUUUUUAAGAAGUUAAAAAAUUUUUUUAAGAAACUAGGAUUAGAUACCCUAUUAUUAAAAAUGUAAAUUUUAAAACUAAGUGAUUAAUAGUUAAGUUCUUUAAAGCUAAAUGAUUUGGCGGUAUUUUAAUCUUUUCAGAGGAACCUGUCCAGUAAUUGAUAUUCCACGAUUGAAUUAACUUAAAAUAGAAAUUUUUAUAUCGUUGUUAUUAAAUAUUUUAAAAGAAUUUAAUAUUUAUUUUUUUUUAUAAGAAAAUAAAUCAAAUCAAGGUGAAGUUAAUAUUUAAGAAUGAGAUGGGUUACAAUAAAUUUUAUUUGUUGGAAAAGUAAUUUUAAAAAUUUUUAGAAAUUGGAUUUGAAAGUAAUUAUAUAUACAUUUUUAUAAUGAUUAAGCACUAAAAUAUGCACAUAUUGCCCGUCGCUUUCGAUUAAAUUGGAAUAAGUCGUAACAUAGUAGUUUUACUGGAAAGUGAGUCUAGAAAGAA
rnacentral:ncRNA from 1 species